rnacentral:misc_RNA from 1 species
UGCAGUUUACUAUUCGGCCACCGGCAGCGCAGAGGAGUGUAGCCGACGGCUGCAUGCGCGAGCAAUGCCAGGCUCCCGGUGCCCUUAUCAGCACAUCGCUGGCGGCGGUGAGACGGCAGGCCACCAGUGCAGGCCUCUCGCCGGUGGUGGGGCGACGUGGGGACGCUAGCGCCGGUCUCAUUCCGGCGGUAGCCCUGCCACCUUUCUGGGGCCGAGGGAGGAGUUACAGCGGCGGCGAUUCUCUGCCCGAUGGGUGGCGCCGCCGCGUCAGCGUUGAGAGGAGUAGUCCUGCUGUCGAAUCCCGUAGUCGCGUCAGCAUGAGGAAUUUUCUAGAAGUGGAAAUGAUGGUUAGAGAGUACGAGAUAGAUCGUUUUGGGGUUGUGAAUCAUGCUGUCUAUUUGAACUACUGCUACCAUGGUCAAACAGAACUCUGCGCUAGGAUUGGUGUAUUCCUGGAUGAAGUUGCUCUAUCAGGUGAAGCACUAGCAAUAACUGAUUUAUUCAUCAAGUUCAUCGCACCUCUCAGAGUUGGUGAUAGGUUCGUGGUGAAAUCAAGGUUCUCAAGUGUCUCUCGUGUACAUGUUAAGUUAGAGCACUUCAUCUUUAAGCUGCCAAAUAUUGAGCCCAUUUUGGAGGUAAAGUCUACAGGUGUCUGGCUGAAUAAGAACUAUCGCCUUAUAUAUAUUCCAUCAAAUUUUAUUUCGAACAUUAUAUUAUUUGAUGAGUCUCUUAAUAAGUGACCAUUCAUCUAGUAAAAAAUAAAGAGGAGUGUUAUAAUAUUGUGUGUACUUUGUAAUAUUUUAAUUUCUCCUCAAGAUUAUGAUUCUGAG